AAAAAUCUGUGUUUACUGACUUGAGAUCUAUUAUUUAGCCUUCGAGGAAGUUUGAUUCAGUGCUUUGUGCCUUGACGAUCAAUGGAGGAAAACGGAUGCCGCAGUUAACUGAGCAGCAUUUGCAUCACGCAUGUCCUCUUUUUGAUCGAGUUACCUAUAUCCAACUAUCAGUGUAACAACGUUAUCCAACUUCGCAAAUGUCCUGCUCCUCUUGCCCCUGAUACACAUAGAAAUCAUCUUCGACAUUCACAAGUUCUAUUAAUUGGCUGUGGCAGCCAAUGCAAUCGUGGUAAUGAAGUUUCUGUAUUUGACACUGCAUCAAAAUUAAAGAAUGGUCUCUCCUACUUCUCCACUUAUGAAGAAGGUCUUCAUCUCUAUCAUCUUUAUAUAAAUAUUA